rnacentral:rRNA from 1 species
ACGGGUGAGUAACACGUGUAUCAUCUCCCCUCGAGUGGUGGAUAACUCUCCGAAAGGAGAGCUAAUACAGCAUAAGACCACGGCUUCGCUGAAGCUGCGGUCAAAGCAAGCCUCUACUCUUAAACUUGCGCUUGAGGAUGAGUCUGCGGCCCAUCAUCUAGUUGGUAGGGUAAUGGCCUACCAAGGCAAACACAGGUAACUGGUCUGAGAGGAUGAACAGCCACACUGGAACUGAGACACGGUCCAGACUCCUACGGGAGGCAGCAAUGGGGAAUCUUGCGCAAUGGGCGAAAGCCUGACGCAGCGACGCCGCGUGAGCGAUGAAGGCCUUCGGGUUGUAAAGCUCUGUGGGGAGGAAAGAAUAAGGGUUGGCUAAUAUCCAGCUCGAUGACGGUACCUCCUUAGCAAGCACCGGCUAACUCUGUGCCAGCAGCCGCGGUAAGACAGAGGGUGCAAACGUUGUUCGGAAUUACUGGGCGUAAAGCGCGUGUAGGCGGCUUUGCAAGUCGGGUGUGAAAUCCCACGGCUCAACCGUGGAAGUGCACUCUAAACUGCAAGGCUAGAGUCCUGAAGAGGAAGGUGGAAUGCUU